rnacentral:rRNA from 1 species
CCUACGGGGGGCUGCAGUCGAGAAUCAUUCACAAUGGGGGAAACCCUGAUGGUGCGACGCCGCGUGGGGGAAUGAAGGUCUUCGGAUUGUAAACCCCUGUCAUGUGGGAGCAAAUUAAAAAGAUAGUACCACAAGAGGAAGAGACGGCUAACUCUGUGCCAGCAGCCGCGGUAAUACAGAGGUCUCAAGCGUUGUUCGGAAUCACUGGGCGUAAAGCGUGCGUAGGCUGUUUCGUAAGUCGUGUGAGAAAGGCGCGGGCUCAACCCGCGGACGGCACAUGAUACUGCGAGACUAGAGUAAGGGAGGGGGAACCGGAAUUCUCGGUGUAGCAGUGAAAUGCGUAGAUAUCGAGAGGAACACUCGUGGCGAAGGCGGGUUCCUGGACAUUAACUGACGCUGAGGCACGAAGGCCAGGGGAGCGAAAGGGAUUAGAUACCCGAGUAGUC